rnacentral:rRNA from 1 species
AGUGAACGCUGGCGGUAGGCCUAACACAUGCAAGUCGAACGGCAGCACAGUAAGAGCUUGCUCUUACGGGUGGCGAGUGGCGGACGGGUGAGGAAUACAUCGGAAUCUACUUUUUCGUGGGGGAUAACGUAGGGAAACUUACGCUAAUACCGCAUACGACCUACGGGUGAAAGCAGGGGAUCUUCGGACCUUGCGCGAUUGAAUGAGCCGAUGUCGGAUUAGCUAGUUGGCGGGGUAAAGGCCCACCAAGGCGACGAUCCGUAGCUGGUCUGAGAGGAUGAUCAGCCACACUGGAACUGAGACACGGUCCAGACUCCUACGGGAGGCAGCAGUGGGGAAUAUUGGACAAUGGGCGCAAGCCUGAUCCAGCCAUACCGCGUGGGUGAAGAAGGCCUUCGGUUUGUAAAGCCCUUUUGUUAGGAAAGAAAAGCAGCAGGUUAACACCCCGCUGUUCUGACGGUACCCAAAGAAUAAGCACCGGCUAACUUCGUG